GAGAUUAUGUACUCCACUCCGAUUACCUAGUUUUGACCGAACAUUUUUUUAUACGGGAGCUUGCCCUUUCCUUUCUGCAUAAAUGCCCUCAUUAGAGGCACUUAUAAAGUCAGGAAGAAAGCACCCACCUGCCAUGGUGCGGGGUUCAAAACGAAGGAAAGGAGGGGAAGAAAUAAGAAAGAUAU
rnacentral:other from 13 species